rnacentral:lncRNA from 1 species
UUUCUGGGUCAGUAGGUUGGAUGUAAUAGAAGUAAUGAUAGAUGCCUAGGAUGAUGACUCUUGUAGUCACCAAUCAGGCCAGUCAGAAAUACAGUGUUUAAAAGAAACAGAUAUCCUAAAACCAAAGAGGUUAGAAGAAAAGUUGUGUUUUUUGUAAUAAAUUCAAACUGUGAUGCCAGUAAUGAAGAGCCCUCACAUUCUUCUGAUAUUCCUCCCCCUGCAAAAUUACAUGCAUCACAUUUGUGUAAUUGUGCCAUGAGGUCAAGGAAAGCCUAGGGACUCAAUGAAAUAUUAAUAUGAUUUUACAGUUUUUAGGGUGAGGAUUUUUUUCUUUUAAUGAAGUCUUGAUAUCAAUGCCCCACAGCUCUACCUAAACCCAGUGGCCAUCAUGUGAAAGAGGUGCUACCCGUGACAAUUCAAUUUGCUUUUUCAAGAAUUUGCAAAUGUAGGCAAAGUCAACUGGAAAUGAUGCAUUC